UGUGCUGAUAGCUGCCUCAACACCUCGCAGACUAACUGCUCUGUGAACUGCUGCAAUUCUACUGGCUGCCUCAAUAGUAGUUUUGCAUCCAUGAUGAUGACAACAACAACAGUAAUUACAACGACAACAAUGAAAACAACAACAACACAAACCACAACAGUCACCAAAACGACUAUGACCAACACGCAAACAACAGCAAGCAAAGUAAGAACAAGAGGGUUUGUGUGUGUUUGAGUUUAUGCUUGCAUGGGAAUGGAUGUAUAUGAGGGGGCAGGAGGCUAGAGGCUUGUGUGUAUCAUUAAAUUCAGUUCAUCUCCAUUUCACCUUUUCUUAGAUGGUCAGCUGCACAUUUUCUUUGUGACAGCUGUCAAUGUGUAUUUAAAAAAAUAUAUAUGCAAAGUUGUUUAUAUUUGUAUACAUUGUUGACUUUUAAACACUUCCCUGUAAUAUUAAUGUUGGUGGUGGUGUGUAGAACCGUAUAACAGUUUGCAAAAUGUCGUGAGCAAGGCCUGGUGUGAGAUUAGCGUCAUCUUCUCAUUGAUGUUGUUUUCUCAGGGAAAAAAAUGCCAUUCAGGUACAUGUGAUGGCACAGAUUGCUACAAAAAUUUUGAGGAAUUCAAAACAUGCUCCCCCUCACAACCACACUGCCAGCUGAAAAAGGAGACUGUCAAUUCCAAGUUUAAGUGGACAGCGGGUUGCACCAACUGCACUAGCCAUACCCCAUGCAAAGCCUCAACACAACCUCCAUGUCUUCUAGAAUGCUGCAACGCCACUACAAAUUCCUGCUUAUGGUUGAAUGGCACAUUGAACGUCAUCUCCUUUGCCACAAGAGGUCCUCAUCUUCACAUAGAAUUGAUUGCUUCCUUACUUUGCCUGUUUGCCAUCAGUUUCCUGCUGUGAGCGACUGUGGAGGGGCUUGCUGUGGGUCAUUAAGACAUCUGAGACAUGAGUAAUUCCCUCUAGAAAAAAAGCUUAGCAAUGAGAGGUUAACGUUACUUAAUCAUUUAUCUCGCUGAUAUUCAUAUGUAAUUGUAUAUAUGUAUGGAAUUAUGUAAAGCCCCACUUACCAUGUUGAUUUUGUUUCUUGUUCAAGACAGAUUAAAAACAGCCUUGAAAAGUAUUUCUAAAAGAAAAAACAAUACAUAUAUAAACUUCAGGAAUCAAGACAAACAUGACAGAAGCAAUGUAGUCAUUACAUCACUUCACAUUUACAGUAGGUUGCAAAUCACCAUAUUAAUUAACAAAAUGAUAUAUUAAAGCAAACACUGUGUGUGACAUUCUCUCCUCUGUUAAAUUUUAAGAAAUAAUUUUAAGUUACUUAAUGUCUUGUAAUUGGUUCCCAUGACCUUGUCCAUAACUGAUUGAAUUCAGCUGCUGUCUGUUUUUGUUUGUGCCUUCCCACUACAAACGGAUUGUAGAUGGCUUUUAAUUUUGGAUGGGUGAGAGAGCCUAAACCCAACAUUCCUACUUACACUAACAUGGUUAUAAAUAUUUUAUCACCAAAACCUUUUCCUAGAUUUUCAUCCCUUCAAGCCAUUCUGAGAAUAACGCAGCUAUGACUAUAUGCACUUUAUGAGACACAAAUGUUGAGUUCUUACAGGGUGUUGUGAAGG